rnacentral:rRNA from 1 species
UACAUAUGGUGCGAGCGUUGUCCGGAUUUACUGGGCGUAAAGAGCGUGUAGGCGGUGAUGCAAGUCAAACUUUAAAAACUCUUGGCUCAACCAGAGUUCGAGUUUGGGACUGCAUUGCUAGAGAUAGGGAGAGGAAAGUAGAACUAACAGUGUAGCGGUGAAAUGCGUAGAUAUUGUUAGGAAUACCCGUGGCGAAGGCGGCUUUCUGGACCUAUUCUGACGCUGAGACGCGAGAGCGUGGGGAU